rnacentral:rRNA from 1 species
UGCAGCAACGCCGCGUGAGGGACGACGGCCUCUCGGGUUGUAAACCUCUUUUAGUAGGGAAGAAGCGAAAGUGACGGUACCUGCAGAAAAAGCACCGGCUAACUACGUGCCAGCAGCCGCGGUAAUACGUAGGGUGCAAGCGUUGUCCGGAAUUAUUGGGCGUAAAGAGCUCGUAGGCGGUUUGUCGCGUCUGCUGUGAAAACCCGAGGCUCAACCUCGGGCCUGCAGUGGGUACGGGCAGACUAGAGUGCGGUAGGGGAGAAUGGAAUUCCUGGUGUAGCGGUGGAAUGCGCAGAUAUCAGGAGGAACACCGAUGGCGAAGGCAGUUCUCUGGGCCGUAACUGACGCUGAGGAGCGAAAGCGUGGGGAGCGAACAGGAUUAGAUACCCUGGUAGUCCACGCCGUAAACGUUGGGCGCUAGAUGUGGGGACCAUUCCACGGUUUCCGUGUCGCAGCUAACGCAUUAAGCGCCCCGCCUGGGGAGUACGGCCGCAAGGCUAAAACUCAAAGGAAUUGACGGGGGCCCGCACAAGCGGCGGAGCAUGCGGAUUAAUUCGAUGCAACGCGAAGAACCUUACCAAGGCUUGACAUAUACGAGAACGCUCUAGAAAUAGAGAACUCUUUGGA